rnacentral:rRNA from 1 species
AUUGAACGCUGGCGGAAUGCUUUACACAUGCAAGUCGAACGGUAGAGGGGGCAACCCCUCGAGAGUGGCGAACGGGUGAGUAAUAUAUCGGAACGUGCCCAGUAGUGGGGGAUAACGUAGCGAAAGUUACGCUAAUACCGCAUACGACCUAAGGAUGAAAGCGGGGGAUCGCAAGACCUCGCGCGAUUGGAGCGGCCGAUAUCAGAUUAGGUAGUUGGUGGGGGAAAGGCUCACCAAGCUAACGAUCUGUAGCUGGUCGGAGAGGACGAACAGCCACACUUGAACUGAGACACGGUCCAGACUCCUACGGGAGGCAGCAGUGGGGAAUUUUGGACAAUGGACGCAAGUCUGAUCCAGCCAUUCCGCGUGCAGGAUGAAGGCCCUCGGGUUGUAAACUGCUUUUGUACGGAACGAAAAGGUCUCUCUUAAUACGGGGGGCUCAUGACGGUACCGUAAGAAUAAGCACCGGCUAACUACGUGCCAGCCGCCGCGGUAA